rnacentral:rRNA from 1 species
CAGUCGUGCUGGCGCGAAAUCAGCUCGACCACUCGGGGAUCACGGGCCGUAGCGAGCCUCAAAACCGCUACGACUCGUGAUUUCUUAGUGGCCUGGUGCACUUUCGUGUCGGCUGGUUAACAUCAAUUUCGAUCGUCAUAAAAAGGCUGGAGGGAUGUGGCUCCUUCGGGAGUGUUAUAACCUUUAGCGGAAUGUGGUGGUCGGGAUUGAGGCUUGCAACGAUACCUUCAGGGCUGUUCCACUGGCCUCUCAUCGGAA